rnacentral:rRNA from 1 species
UACAGAGGUCUCAAGCGUUGUUCGGAUUCAUUGGGCGUAAAGGGUGCGUAGGCGGCGCGGUAAGUCGGGUGUGAAAUCUCGGAGCUUAACUCCGAAACUGCAUUCGAUACUGCCGUGCUUGAGGUCUGGAGAGGAGACUGGAAUUUACGGUGUAGCGGUGAAAUGCGUAGAUAUCGUAAGGAAGACCAGUGGCGAAGGCGGGUCUCUGGACAGUUCCUGACGCUGAGGCACGAAGGUCAGGGGAGCAAACGGG